rnacentral:rRNA from 1 species
GACGAACGCUGGCGGCGUGCCUAAUACAUGCAAGUCGAGCGAAGUUUUUCUGGUGCUUGCACCGGAAAAACUUAGCGGCGAACGGGUGAGUAACACGUAAAGAACCUGCCUCAUAGACUGGGACAACUAUUGGAAACGAUAGCUAAUACCGGAUAACAGCAUUAACUGCAUGGUUGAUGUUUGAAAGUUGGUUUUGCUAACACUAUGAGAUGGCUUUGCGGUGCAUUAGCUAGUUGGUGGGGUAAAGGCCUACCAAGGCGACGAUGCAUAGCCGACCUGAGAGGGUGAUCGGCCACACGGGGACUGAGACACGGCCCAGACUCCUACGGGAGGCAGCAGUAGGGAAUCUUCCGCAAUGGGCGAAAGCCUGACGGAGCAACGCCGCGUGAGUGAAGAAGGAUUUCGGUUCGUAAAGCUCUGUUGUUAGGGAAGAAUGAUUAUGUAGUAACUAUACAUAGUAGAGACGGUACCUAACCAGAAAGCCACGGCUAACUACGUG